rnacentral:rRNA from 1 species
GAUGAACGCUGGCGGCGUGCCUAAUACAUGCAAGUCGAGCGAACAGACGAGGAGCUUGCUCCUCUGACGUUAGCGGCGGACGGGUGAGUAACACGUGGAUAACCUACCUAUAAGACUGGGAUAACUUCGGGAAACCGGAGCUAAUACCGGAUAAUAUAUUGAACCGCAUGGUUCAAUAGUGAAAGACGGUUUUGCUGUCACUUAUAGAUGGAUCCGCGCCGCAUUAGCUAGUUGGUAAGGUAACGGCUUACCAAGGCAACGAUGCGUAGCCGACCUGAGAGGGUGAUCGGCCACACUGGAACUGAGACACGGUCCAGACUCCUACGGGCGGCAGCAGUAGGGAAUCUUCCGCAAUGGGCGAAAGCUUGACGGAGCAACGCCGCGUGAGUGAUGAAGGUCUUCGGAUCGUAAAACUCUGUUAUUAGGGAAGAACAAAUGUGUAAGUAACUAUGCACGUCUUGACGGUACCUAAUCAGAAAGCCACGGCUAACUACGUG